GCCUCCGCCCCGUCGGGCUGCAUGGUCCUUGCCCUGUCCCCGGCUCGGGAAGGUGCUGAGCCUGGGCUUAGGCCGAGUUCCUGGGGUCCCAGGAUUCUCGCGCGCAUCUUGGUUGGGGAGGGGGUCCGCGGCGCUUCGGGAGCGCGGAAUCGGGGGACUUUGGGGGCACUUGGAGAGUGGACUGCACCUUUCACCACGCACGCCAGGGGCGGCCAGAGGAGCCUCCUGGCGGCGUCGGUGGCGCGCCCCGCGGGGCGGCGCCUGGGGCUGGCCAGGUAGGCGGCGCGGCAGCUCCGGUGUGCGCACGGAUCGGGGCUACGGUGUCAGCUUUUCCACGCCUCGCGGGCCUGGGAAGUGCGGGCCCGGCCAAGGGAAGGCGGGGAGAGUCGGGAUCCCGGUAGUUCCAGGUCUGCGUGGCCAGCCCUUCCGUCCUUGCGACAUCCUUUUCCAGGGUGGCGACCUGGUGGGGCUCGUUGCUCGGCUCAGGUGUGUUGGCGCCGUUCUCACUCUCUCGCAUUUCUGUACAAGACAAAAGAUGUAGAACUCUCAGCUCCUCCUGCACCAUGCCUGCCUGGAUGCUGCCAUGUUCCUGCCUUGAUGAUAAUGGACUGAACCUCUGAACCUUGGCCAAGUGCAUGUGGAGGUCAGAGGUCAACUUGCAGAAGCUGGUUCUCUCCUAUCACCAUGUGAGUCCUGGGAUUGAACUCGGGUCAUCAGAUUUGGUGGCAUGUGAUUAGUGCUAUUCAUUAAAACAAAGCAAGGAAAACACA